AACGAACGCUGGCGGCAGGCCUAACACAUGCAAGUCGAACGCCCUAGCAAUAGGGAGUGGCAGACGGGUGAGUAACACGUGGGAACCUUCCCUAUAGUACGGAAUAGCUCAGGGAAACUUGAAGUAAUACCGUAUACGCCCGAGAGGGGAAAGAUUUAUCGCUAUAGGAUGGGCCCGCGUCGGAUUAGCUAGUUGGUGAGGUAAUGGCUCACCAAGGCGACGAUCCGUAGCUGGUUUGAGAGAACGACCAGCCACACUGGGACUGAGACACGGCCCAGACUCCUACGGGAGGCAGCAGUGGGGAAUAUUGGACAAUGGGCGCAAGCCUGAUCCAGCCAUGCCGCGUGAGUGAUGAAGGCCUUAGGGUUGUAAAGCUCUUUAGCAGGGAAGAUAAUGACUGUACCUGCAGAAUAAGCUCCGGCUAACUUCGUGCCAGCAGCCGCGGUAAU
rnacentral:rRNA from 1 species